rnacentral:tRNA from 1 species
GGGGAUUUAGCUCAGUGGUAGAGCGCUUGCCUAGCAAGCGCAAGGCCCUGGGUUCGAUCUCCAGCUCCG